rnacentral:rRNA from 1 species
GUGUCGACGAAGAGCGCAGCCAACUGUGUGAAUUAAUGUGAACCGCAGACUGCUUUGAACAUCGACCUCUUGAACGCACAUUGCGGCCGUAGGCUUGCCUACGGCCACGUCUGACCGAGGGUCGGCU